rnacentral:rRNA from 1 species
UACGUAGGGUGCGAGCGUUGUCCGGAAUUAUUGGGCGUAAAGAGCUUGUAGGCGGUUUGUCGCGUCUGCUGUGAAAAUCCGGGGCUCAACCCCGGACUUGCAGUGGGUACGGGGCAGACUAGAGUGUGGUAGGGGAGACUGGAAUUCCUGGUGUAGCGGUGGAAUGCGCAGAUAUCAGGAGGAACACCGGUGGCGAAGGCGGGUCUCUGGGCCGAUACUGACGCUGAGGAGCGAAAGCGUGGGGAGCGAACAGG